rnacentral:rRNA from 1 species
UACGGAGGAUGCGAGCGUUAUCCGGAUUUAUUGGGUUUAAAGGGUGCGUAGGCGGACUGGAAAGUCAGCGGUAAAAUCGAGAGGCUCAACCUCUUUCCGCCGUUGAAACUGUCGGUCUUGAGUGGGCGAGAAGUAUGCGGAAUGCGUGGUGUAGCGGUGAAAUGCAUAGAUAUCACGCAGAACCCCGAUGGCGAAGGCAGCCUGCCAAGCCAUGACUGACGCUGAUGCACGAAAGCGUGGGGAUCGAACAGG